GAUUGCCUCAGUAACGGCGAGUGAAGCGGCANCAGCUCAAAUUUGAAAUCUGGCCCCAGGCCCGAGUUGUAAUUUGCAGAGGAUGCUUUUGGCGAGGUGCCUUCCGAGUUCCCUGGAACGGGACGCCAUAGAGGGUGAGAGCCCCGUACGGUUGGACACCAAGUCUUUGUAAAGCUCCUUCGACGAGUCGAGUAGUUUGGGAAUGCUGCUCAAAAUGGGAGGUAUAUUUCUUCUAAAGCUAAAUAUUGGCCAGAGACCGAUAGCGCACAAGUAGAGUGAUCGAAAGAUGAAAAGCACUUUGAAAAGAGGGUUAAACAGCACGUGAAAUUGUUAAAAGGGAAGCGCUUAUGACCAGACUUGCGCCCGGUGAAUCACCCAGCUCUCGCGGCUGGGGCACUUUGCCGGCUCAGGCCAGCAUCAGCUCGCUGUCGGGGACAAAAGCUUCGGGAACGUAGCUCUCUUCGGGGAGUGUUAUAGCCCGUUGCAUAAUACCCUUCGGCGGGCUGAGGUACGCGCUCCGCAAGGAUGCUG
rnacentral:rRNA from 1 species